rnacentral:rRNA from 1 species
CGCGUAGGCGGUUUGCUAAGUCACUUGUGAAAUCCCGGUGCUCAACGCCGGGGCUGCAGGUGAGACUGGCAGACUAGAGCUCGGUAGAGGCGAAUGGAAUUCCCGGUGUAGCGGUGGAAUGCGUAGAUAUCGGGAAGAACAUCGGUGGCGAAGGCGGUUCGCUGGGCCGAUGCUGACGCUGAUGCGCGAAAGCGUGGGGAGCAAACCA